rnacentral:rRNA from 1 species
GUGCCAGCAGCCGCGGUAAUACAUAGGGGUCAAGCGUUGUCCGGAUUUAUUGGGCGUAAAGAGCUCGUAGGCGGUUCAACAAGUCGGUCGUAAAAGUUUAGGGCUCAACCCUAAAAUGUCGAUCGAUACUGUUGUGACUAGGAUACGGUAGAGGUGAAUGGAAUUCCGAGUGUAGCGGUGAAAUGCGUAGAUAUUCGGAGGAACACCAAUUGCGAAGGCAGUUCACUGGACCGUGAUCGACGCUGACACUAAGGGACGAAAGCUAGGGGAGCAAACGGGAUUAGAUA